UUUAUGGAGAGUUUGAUCCUGGCUCAGGAUGAACGCUGGCGGCGUGCCUAAUACAUGCAAGUCGAGCGAACGGACGAGAAGCUUGCUUCUCUGAUGUUAGCGGCGGACGGGUGAGUAACACGUGGAUAACCUACCUAUAAGACUGGGAUAACUUCGGGAAACCGGAGCUAAUACCGGAUAAUAUUUUGAACCGCAUGGUUCAAAAGUGAAAGACGGUCUUGCUGUCACUU
rnacentral:rRNA from 1 species